rnacentral:rRNA from 1 species
UACGUAGGGGGCGAGCGUUGUCCGGAGUUACUGGGCGUAAAGGCAUGCAGGCGGUCCGACACGUUUUGUGUGACAGCGGGUGGCUUAACUACCCGAGGAUGCGAAAGACGGUUGGACUUGAGGACUCGAGAGGGACACGGAAUUCCGGGUGGAGUGGUGAAACUGCGUAGAGAUCCGGAGGAACACCGAAGGCGAAGGCAGUGUCCUGGCGAGUGACUGACGCUGAGGUGCGAAAGCCAGGGAGCGAACGGG